UAUGUUAUUUGUUUCAUGUCUCAUAAAUAGUAGUUAAUAUUUGAUGAUUCUUUUUUAAUGAUAUAUAAUUAGAAAUCAAUUACUAUUUUAAAAUACACGUAUAUAAUUCAAAAUCAAUUAAAAUCUAAACUAAUAAAUCAUGUGUAUUAAUUAGUCUUCGUCAAUAUAGAUGGUGGGUUUUGUACGAGUCCAUGUUGUACAUUUCAGUGGUUUUAUUUUCAACCAACUGAUUUGUUUUCUCUUAAUCCUGAGAAGCCAAUGUUUAUGAAAUCAAGACAAGUUUGAUUAGAUUGAGUUAUCGGGACUAGUAAUAGAGAACCCCUAUGAUCAUUUGGAUUUCUUGGAGAGGUUGUAUAGUACGUUUAAAAUUGGUUGUCCGGAGAUAGUUUCAAGCUCAUUUUGUUUCCUCUUUCUCUUAGAGAAAAAGCAAGCCAAUGGUUGAAAACUAUACCAUCUCAUUUGGUCAGUUCUUGGGAUGCGUGUAAGAAAAUCAUCCUUCUCAAGUUCUACUCCAAGCAAAAAACGACCAAAGUGAAAAGUGACAUAAUAGGGUUUAAGCAAGGAAUCAAUGAAAGUUUCCAUGAAGCAUGGGGACGGCUUAAUGAUUAUACUCAAGAUUGCCCUCCUGGAUUCAAAAGGAAGUUAUUUCCUUAGUAUUUAUAUUGUGGAGUUAAUAAGGAGCUAAAAUUAUCAUUGGACAUGACUAGCAAAUGACGUUUUGCAAAUAUUACCAUGGACUAAGGAGAGUUACUUGUUGAAAAUUUGGCUCAAAGUGAUCUAAGCUACAAUGAAAUAUGUGACAGGAUCGCCUUUGGAGAUACCAAGUGACGACUACACAUGGAAAAAAUUGCAAAAUCAAUUAGAUAGGUGGAGAAGUUCAUGAUGAUGCAAGAAAGAGGAGUUAACAAUGUUACAAUGGAUUUUUUAAAGUAUAUAUCCAAGAUGAAGAUAUCACUAGCCCAACAAAAAACUAUUCAAUUAAUAAAUUCUUUAUUUUUUUGUGGUCAAACUUCAUUUUAUUAAAGAACCUAAAGGGCAUUACAUAAAAGGUACAAGGCCCAUUUAAAGAUUCAAUACAAACCAAAAACACUGAUAAAAAGCUUAUAUCAAUAGAACUCAUAGACACGUGUCUUAAUAAAGGAUAAACAUGGGCACGUGACAAGUCUGGAGAAAAGUUGUUUCUUCAUGAACUUGUCGUCGGCGAACUACUUCUGGUCACAUGGAUAUUUCUUUACCUUCCAGUUCUUCAUCAUCACCCUUCUUAAUAAUAAUAAUAUAUAUAUAUA
rnacentral:sRNA from 1 species